rnacentral:rRNA from 1 species
GAUGAACGCUAGCGGCAGGCCUAAUACAUGCAAGUCGAACGGGAUCCAGAUCAAAGCUUGCUUUGGUCUGGUGAGAGUGGCGCACGGGUGCGUAACGCGUGAGCAACCUACCCUUGUCAGGGGGAUAGCCCGGCGAAAGUCGGAUUAAUACCGCAUGACAUCAUUGAGAGGCAUCUUUCGAUGAUCAAAGAUUUAUCGGACAAGGAUGGGCUCGCGUGACAUUAGCUAGUUGGUAAGGUAACGGCUUACCAAGGCUGCGAUGUCUAGGGGCUCUGAGAGGAGAAUCCCCCACACUGGUACUGAGACACGGACCAGACUCCUACGGGAGGCAGCAGUAAGGAAUAUUGGGCAAUGGACGGAAGUCUGAACCAGCCAUGCCGCGUGCAGGAGGACGGCCCUAUGGGUUGUAAACUGCUUUUAUACGGGAACAAACGUCGGUACGUGUACCGGUCUGAGUGUACCGUAAGAAUAAGGAUCGGCUAACUCCGUG